rnacentral:rRNA from 1 species
UACGAAGGGGGCUAGCGUUGCUCGGAAUCACUGGGCGUAAAGGGUGCGUAGGCGGGUCUUUAAGUCAGGGGUGAAAUCCUGGAGCUCAACUCCAGAACUGCCUUUGAUACUGAAGAUCUUGAGUUCGGGAGAGGUGAGUGGAACUGCGAGUGUAGAGGUGAAAUUCGUAGAUAUUCGCAAGAACACCCGUGGCGAAGGCGGCUCACUGGCCCGGUACUGACGCUGAGGUGCGAAAGCGUGGGGAGCAAACAGG